rnacentral:rRNA from 1 species
CAGAGAGCUUGCUCUCGGGUGACGAGUGGCGGACGGGUGAGUAAUGUCUGGGGAUCUGCCCGAUAGAGGGGGAUAACCACUGGAAACGGUGGCUAAUACCGCAUAACGUCGCAAGACCAAAGAGGGGGACCUUCGGGCCUCUCACUAUCGGAUGAACCCAGAUGGGAUUAGCUAGUAGGCGGGGUAAUGGCCCACCUAGGCGACGAUCCCUAGCUGGUCUGAGAGGAUGACCAGCCACACUGGAACUGAGACACGGUCCAGACUCCUACGGGAGGCAGCAGUGGGGAAUAUUGCACAAUGGGCGCAAGCCUGAUGCAGCCAUGCCGCGUGUAUGAAGAAGGCCUUCGGGUUGUAAAGUACUUUCAGCGGGGAGGAAGGCGAUGGGGUUAAUAACCUUAUCGAUUGACGUUACCCGCAGA